GUGAACGCUGGCGGUAGGCCUAACACAUGCAAGUCGAACGGCAGCACAGUAAGAGCUUGCUCUUACGGGUGGCGAGUGGCGGACGGGUGAGGAAUACAUCGGAAUCUACUUUUUCGUGGGGGAUAACGUAGGGAGACUUACGCUAAUACCGCAUACGACCUACGGGUGAAAGCAGGGGAUCUUCGGACCUUGCGCGAUUGAAUGAGCCGAUGUCGGAUUAGCUAGUUGGCGGGGUAAAGGCCCACCAGGGCGACGAUCCGUAGCUGGUCUGAGAGGAUGAUCAGCCACACUGGAACUGAGACACGGUCCAGACUCCUACGGGAGGCAGCAGUGGGGAAUAUUGGACAAUGGGCGCAAGCCUGAUCCAGCCAUACCGCGUGGGUGAAGAAGGCCUUCGGGUUGUAAAGCCCUUUUGUUGGGAAAGAAAAGCAGCAGGUUAAUACCCCGCUGUUCUGACGGUACCCAAAGAAUAAGCACCGGCUAACUUCGUG
rnacentral:rRNA from 1 species